rnacentral:rRNA from 1 species
AUCGAACGCUGGCGGCAGGCUUAACACAUGCAAGUCGAGCGAGCGGCGGACGGGCGAGUAAUGUCUGGGCAACUGCCUGACGGAGGGGGAUAACUACUGGAAACGGUAGCUAAUACUGCAUACCAUCAGAUGUGCCCAGAGGGGAUUAGCUAGUAGGUGGGGUAAUGGCUCACCUAGGCGACGAUCCCUAGCUGGUCUGAGAGGAUGACCGGCCACACUGGAACUGAGACACGGUCCAGACUCCUACGGGAGGCAGCAGUAGGGAAUAUUGCACAAUGGGCGAAAGCCUGAUGCAGCAAUGCCGCGUGUGUGAAGAAGGCCUUCGGGUUGUAAAGCACUUUCGGCGAGGAGGCGUUACUCACAGAAAAAGCACCGGCUAACUCCGUGCCAGCAGCCGCGGUAAUAC